rnacentral:rRNA from 1 species
ACAAUGGGCGCAAGCCUGAUGCAGCCNUGCCGCGUGUGUGAAGAAGGCCUUCGGGUUGUAAAGCACUUUCAGUGGUGAGGAAGGUCAGUAAGUUAAUAACUUGCUGAAUUGACGUUAGCCACAGAAGAAGCACCGGCUAACUCCGUGCCAGCAGCCGCGGUAAUACGGAGGGUGCAAGCGUUAAUCGGAAUUACUGGGCGUAAAGCGUACGUAGGCGGUGUGUUAAGCAAGAUGUGAAAGCCCCGGGCUCAACCUGGGAAUUGCAUCCGAUACUGGCAGGCUAGAGUACAGUAGAGGGAGGUGGAAUUUCCGGUGUAGCGGUGAAAUGCGU